rnacentral:rRNA from 1 species
UACGUAGGGUGCGAGCGUUAAUCGGAAUUACUGGGCGUAAAGAGUGCGUAGGCGGUUCUUUAAGUCCGCUGUGAAAGCCCCGGGCUUAACCUGGGAAUGGCAGUGGAAACUGGGGGACUUGAAUUGAGCAGAGGGGGGUGGAAUGCCGCGUGUAGCAGUGAAAUGCGUAGAGAUGCGGCGGAACACCGAUGGCGAAGGCAGCCCCCUGGGCUUAAAUUGACGCUGAGGCACGAAAGCGUGGGGAGCAAACAGG